rnacentral:rRNA from 1 species
AGUUUGAUCCUGGGUCAGAUUGAACGCUGGCGGAAUGCUUUACACAUUCAAGUCGAACGGCAGCACGGACUUCGGUCUGGUGGCGAGUGGCGAACGGGUGAGUUAUAUAUCGGAACGUGCCCCGUCGUGGGGGAUAACGUAGUGAAAAUUACGCUAAUUCCGCAUACGAUCUAUGGAUGAAAGCGGGGGAUCGCAAGACCUCGCGCGAUUGGAGCGGCCGAUAUCAGAUUAGGUAGUUGGUGAGGUAAAGGCUCCCCCAGCCAACGAUCUGUAGCUGGUUUGGGAGGACGACCAGCCCCCCUGGAAAUGAGACCCGGUCCCGACUCCUUCGGGAGGCAGCCGUGGGGAAUUUUGGACAAUGGACGCAAGUUUGAUCCAGCCCUUCCGCGUGCAGGACGAAGGCCUUCGGGUUGUAAACUGCUUUUGUUCAGAACGAAAAGGUUUUUAUUAAUACUAGGAGCUCAUGACGGUACAAGGAGAAUAAGCCCCGGCUAACUACGUGCCCGCAGCCGCGG